rnacentral:rRNA from 1 species
UACGGAGGGGGCUAGCGUUGUUCGGAAUUACUGGGCGUAAAGCGCACGUAGGCGGCUUUGUAAGUUAGAGGUGAAAGCCCGGGGCUCAACUCCGGAAUUGCCUUUAAGACUGCAUCGCUAGAAUUGUGGAGAGGUGAGUGGAAUUCCGAGUGUAGAGGUGAAAUUCGUAGAUAUUCGGAAGAACACCAGUGGCGAAGGCGGCUCACUGGACCGGCAUUGACGCUGAGGUGCGAAAGCGUGGGGAGCAAACAGG